CCGGCGACCGGCGCACGGGUGAGUAACACGUAUGCAACCUGCCCGUCUCAGGGGGAUAAUCGUCGGAAACGGCGUCUAAUACCCCGUAUGAAGCUGGACGGCAUCGUCUGGUUUUGAAAGAAUAUCGGAGACGGAUGGGCAUGCGGCGCAUUAGCUAGUUGGCGGGGUAACGGCCCACCAAGGCGACGAUGCGUAGGGGUUCUGAAAGGAAGGUCCCCCACACUGGUACUGAGACACGGACCAGACUCCUACGGGAGGCAGCAG
rnacentral:rRNA from 1 species